rnacentral:rRNA from 1 species
GACAGAGGGUGCAAACGUUGUUCGGAAUUACUGGGCGUAAAGCGCGUGUAGGCUGCUCAGAAAGUCGGAUGUGAAAGCCCUGGGCUUAACCUAGGAAGUGCAUUCGAAACUUCUGAGCUUGAGUUCUGGAGAGGAAGGCGGAAUUCUCGGUGAGAGGUGAAAUUCGUAGAUAUCGAGAGGAACACCGGUGGCGAAGGCGGCCUUCUGGACAGUGACUGACGCUGAGACGCGAAAGCGUGGGGAGCAAACAGG